AGCUCCAAUAGCGUAUAUUAAAAUUGUUGCGGUUAAAACGCUCGUAGUUGGAUACCUGCCAAGGGUGGUCGGUCCUCCUCAGUGGAGAGUACCGGGGUUAGCCCUUGGCGCUAGUUCAGGAAACGUGUGCGCUUAAUUGUGUGCCGCGUGACUUGAACUUUUACUUUGAGGAAAUGAGAGUGUUUCAAGCAGGCGUUUGCCGUGAAUAUGAUAGCAUGGAAUAAUAGCAUCGGGCCCCUUUCCAAAGCUGUUGGUUUUUGGAACGAGGUAAUCGAAAUAAGGAUAGUUGGGGGUAUUCGUAUUUAACUGUCAGAGGUGAAAUUCUUGGAUUUUUUAAAGACGAACUAUUGCGAAGGCAUCUACCCAGGAUGUUUUUG
rnacentral:rRNA from 1 species